rnacentral:rRNA from 1 species
UACGGAGGAUGCAAGCGUUAUCCGGAUUUAUUGGGUUUAAAGGGUGCGUAGGCGGCUUAGUAAGUCAGCGGUGAAAUUUUGCAGCUUAACUGUAACAGUGCCGUUGAUACUGCCAGGCUAGGAUUUGGUUGCUGUGGGUGGAAUGUGUGGUGUAGCGGUGAAAUGCUUAGAUAUCACACAGAAUAUCGAUUGCGAAGGCAGCUCACAAAGCCAAGAUUGACGCUGAGGCACGAAAGUGUGGGGAGUCAAACA